rnacentral:tRNA from 1 species
GGCUGUAGCUCAGUGGUAGAGCACAGCUUCUCAUGCAUGAGGAACUGGGUUCGAUCCUCAGCACCA